rnacentral:rRNA from 1 species
ACAAUGCGGGACUAUUCGUCUUGCAAUUGGAUUGAGAACAAUGUACAACUCUUAUCGAUAAGCCAUUGGAGGGCAAGUCUGGUGCCAGCAGCCGCGGUAAUUCCAGCUCCAAUAGCGUAUAUUAACGUUGUUGCAGUUAAAAAGCUCGUAGUUGAAGUGUGGGUGAUCGCUGUUGUGAGACUUCGGUCUCUCGACAGUAAGUCACCCCCUUCCAGUAUCCAGUAGUGGGUAUUCAGUUACUUACUAUUGUGUGUUGGUCGUUUACUGUGAGAAAAUUAGAGUGUUCAAAGCAGGCGUUUGCUUGAAUAGAUUAGCAUGGAAUAAUAAUUGAAGGCUUUCGUGUUCGAUUUGAUUGGUUUGUUCAUGGAAGCAAGGUUAAAAGGAACAGUUGGGGGUAUUCAUAUUCACUAGUUAGAGGUGAAAUUCUCGGAUUUAUGGAAGAUGAACAA